rnacentral:lncRNA from 1 species
CCAUUCAAUUUUUGCAUUAGAUGGAAUUGGUUAUGAAACUUAUUAUUAGUCCCUUAAUGUUGAUAUUGUUUAAUGUUUUUCAUAGAUUGUUAUUUGAUUUCAGAGAAAGGUAUAAAAGCAUAUGAAUAAUAAGAUAUUUGAUUUUCAUAAUUCAUAAGAUUUAGAUUUCAAUAAGCUAUUCAAUUCUGAAUAAAAUAAAACAAUACAAAAGGGAGUCCUC